UACCGGCGGCUCGAGUGGUGGCCACUAUUACUGGGCUUAAAGCGUCCGUAGCUUGGUUGUUAAGUCUCUUGGGAAAUCUGUCGGCUUAACCGACAGGCGUUUAAGGGAUACUGGCAAUCUAGGGACCGGGAGAGGUGAGAGGUACUCCAGGGGUAGGAGUGAAAUCCUGUAAUCCUUGGGGGACCACCUGUGGCGUAGGCGUCUCACCAGAACGGCUCCGACAGUGAGGGACGAAAGCUGGGGGAGCAAACCGGAUUAGAUACCCGGGUAGUCCCAGCCGUAAACGAUGCGCGUUAGGUGUAUCGGUGACCACGAGUCACCGAGGUGCCGAAGGGAAACCGUGAAACGUGCCGCCUGGGAAGUACGGUCGCAAGGCUGAAACUUAAAGGAAUUGGCGGGGGAGCACCACAACAGGUGGAGCCUGCGGUUUAAUCGGACUCAACGCCGGAAACCUCACCGGAUAAGACAGCGGGAUGAUAGCCAGGCUGAAGACUUUGCUUGACUAGCUGAGAGGAGGUGCAUGGCCGUCGUCAGUUCGUACUGUGAAGCAUCCUGUUAAGUCAGGCAACGAGCGAGACCCACGCCAACAGUUGCUAGCAUGUCCUUCGGGAUGAUGAGGACACUGUUGGGACCGCCUCUGCUAAAGAGGAGGAAGGAAUGGGCAACGGUAGGUCAGCAUGCCCCGAAUUAUCCGGGCUACACGCGGGCUACAAUGGGCAGGACAAUGGGUAUCGACACCGAAAGGUGAAGGCAAUCUCUUAAACCUGUCCGUAGUUCGGAUUGCGGGUUGCAACUCGCCCGCAUGAAGCUGGAAUCUGUAGUAAUCGCGUCUCAAAAUGGCGCGGUGAAUAUGUCCCUGCUCCUUGCACACACCGCCCGUCAAACCACUCGAGUGGGGUCUUGAUGAGGCUGCGGUUUUCGCCGUAGUCGAAUCUAGGUUCCGCAAGAGGGGUU
rnacentral:rRNA from 1 species